CACCCAGGACGGUGGAUCACUCGGCUCGUGGGUCGAUGAAGAACGCAGCAAAUUGGCGUCGACAUGUGAACUGCAGGACACAUGAACAUCGACGUUUCGAACGCACAUUGCGGUCCAUGGAUUCCGUUCCCGGGCCACGUCUGGCUGAGGGUCG
rnacentral:rRNA from 1 species